rnacentral:lncRNA from 1 species
UUCAUGCGCUAUAGGUAGAUAACUCAGAGAGGGCUUUAUACUAGGCACGCACAACACAUAUUUACAAAGCCAGAGUAAAAGGAAGGCCACUCGCUCAGCAUGAGUAGGUUCAGCACUCGAGUGAUUGUGCAGUGUCUGCAGGCUUGAAUAAGAAUCGGUAUAGUUUUUACCGAACUGAGGGGCGCCACCAGAAACUAAGAUGCCUGGGAAAACGGUAUCACCCAAAGGUGGUAAAUUUACCAGAGCCCCAACAUCCCUUAACGUAAUAGACAUGGGGCCAAGAGGAAAAAUAAAGGUGUUAUACUCAGAGGACCAAAAGCUCAAAGCAAUCGGAAAGAGCGCUGAAUCAAAAGUAGGGGGCGAAUAGAGACUUCCAACAAAUCAGAAAUCCUAGCGCUAUCAAAAAGUGCCUUAGUAGGACCAUGACCCACAAGACGAGCAUGCCACCUAUGAAAAGCUACGACAGAUUUGGGCCAAGUGCGAA